AUACUCCGGUUUCUCUUCAAAUCGUAUAAAUCUUUCGCCUUUUACUAAAGAUUUCCGUGGAGAGGAACAGUUACGAGUUUCAACCAAUUUUUUGAGGCUUCACUUCGGUGAGGCU
rnacentral:snRNA from 1 species